rnacentral:rRNA from 1 species
UACAGAGGAGCCAAGCGUUGUCCGGAUUGACUGGGCGUAAAGCGCACGCAGGCGGGGGUGUGCGGGGGGUGUGAAAUCGGGCCGCUUAACGGCCAGGCGCCAUUCCAUACGGCACGCCUGGAGGGCUGCAGAGGUCGAUGGAAUUGCCGGUGUAGUGGUGAAAUGCGUAGAGAUCGGCAGGAACACCCAGGGGGAAACCAGUCGACUGGGCAGCACCUGACGCUGAGGUGCGAGAGCGUGGGGAGCGAACCGG